UAGGUGGCGAGCGUUAUCCGGAUUUAUUGGGCGUAAAGGGUGUGUAGGCGGUUUGUUAAGUAUAAAAUUAAAGCCCGAAGCUUAACUUCGGUUCGUUUUAUAAACUGGCAGGCUAGAGUACAGUAGAGGCAAAUGGAAUUCCUAGUGUAGUGGUAAAAUGCGUAGAUAUUAGGAGGAACACCGGUGGCGAAGGCGAUUUGCUGGGCUGUUACUGACGCUGAGGCACGAAAGCGUGGGGAGCAAA
rnacentral:rRNA from 1 species